AUCCUGGGUGAGGUUGGGGGGAGCAGGGGAUGAAAUAAGGAGUAAGUCUGGAGCACAUAAACCCAUUGUGGUGGAUGGCAUUUGCAAUCGGUCAAAACAGUAAAGAAGAAGUAUUUGCUUUGUAGAGUCAAGACUCAAUUUCUGAGAACAUUACUAAGAUUUUUAUCCUGGCAAGUAAUCACCUGCAAAUUUUAAGCAGUGAAUAGAUUAAGAAUUGGGUCAUUUUUUUGAAAUCUUUAGUCUAAAGCAACUUCUACAAGAAAUAGUUUUAAUCAAUAUAGUGAAUGUUAUUCAGAAAAACUUAAAUCCAUCAUUCAAUUUCAGGGUUAUUUAGCCUGUUCUAAAAGUCCCAAGACAGAGUCUAAGGGCCCUAUUUCCUUGUUUGGAUCACUACUUUAGGAACCAACAGGAAAGUUUCGUAACAUUUUACUUAAACCUUAUAAAGGGCUACUUAAACCUUAAACCUCAGGGCUUCAGGGGAAAGAGAGAUGGUAAAGGCAGGACUCCUCUGUGCAGGUUCACUUUAAAGACCACAGUCUUUUACUUCUUUGGGAUUUCUACUUCUCUGAGAAUACAUCAGACUCAAUUAUCUACUCUUAUCUCCAAAGGUUUUUUUCAUAAUAUAUUUUUUCUUUACAUAUUUUUACUUAGGAAAAGCCACGUUAAAAUUUUUAAUGUACAUUUGCAAAGUCAAUAAUAAUUUUCAAUAUUCAUUUGUAUUCCGUUUUCAUUUUAUCUAUGUAGAAUGUUCAAAGAAUAUGCAUAAAUGCAUUAUUCAAUUAUGAUGAAGACAGCAGUUAUUAUGGUAAUAAGAUUAUUGCUUUAAAAGAUACUUAGAAAUCUACAUGAAAAAAUAUAUACCUUAUACAGAACAGAUUCUCAAGAAACAUCUGAACCAGAAACCUGGACUGUUUUCCUCCCAGAGGAAUUCAUAUUUUUAAGAAUCACUAGUGGAGUGGUUACUACACAUUCAAGGGAGGCAAGAGACCUGUCUUCAAUCUCAGGCAUCAGCUCCCCAUACGAAUUUGAAUAAGUCAUUUAGUCUCAGUCCCAUAUGUAAAAUAAAGCAAACCCCCAGAUUAUUUUUAAGGUCACUUUCAACUAUGAGAUUCUAUAAUUCCAUAAAAAAGAUAUUAAGAAUUAUUGGCAUGGAAGAAGACUAUUUUGAAUCUCAGCAAUAGAGUUUACACGUAACAUCUUUUUAUUCAAGAGCUUAAAAUAUCUUGUUUGUGGCUAAUGCCUCUUUUUAUGAAUGAUAUUUUAAUUCUGUUAUUGUGGUAGAGGAGAUAUAUUUUUUAUAUUUUUAUUUCCAUAUGUUUUCAGAAUUAUUUAGAUAAUCUAAAUAACUGGAUAUAUGCUCUAAAGAAUUUUACUGCUAGAGAAUUUCACUUAAUUUUCAUUGAAGUGAUAACUUUGCAGAUAGCAAUUAAGUGUUCUGAAUUAGAAAUCAGAUUCUAAAAUAUUAAGUACAUUUGAUUUUUUUCUACAUCUAGUACUUAAAAAUAGCUAGGUGAUCUAAAGUUUCAGAUUUUGACAAGAAAAUCAACUCCUAAAUUGACAAAGGAGUUCAAGAUUGGUUAGCUAAUUUUCUCUUCUAUGCCGGAUUCAUUCAUUCAACCAGACACCUUCAAGGUUCCUCUUUUUUAAAGGAAAUAUUUUUAUUGAUUUUGAGAGAGAGAGGAAGGGAGAGGGAAAGAGAGAAAAACAUUAAUGUGAGGGCAAAACAUCAAUCGGCUACCUUCUGCAACUCGGUCAUGCCCCCUUGCCUGGGAAUCAAACCAGCAACCUUUUGGUGCACAGGAGUGCACCCAACUAACUGAGCCACACCAGCCAGGGCUCAACUUGACUCUUAUGGCUAACUGCAUAAUUAGUGAAGAGUAUCCCUGACUCAAUAACAGUUUAUAUUGUUGGACUUUUCUAAAUCUAUCGUUUCACAUUGUUAGGGAUGUAGCAAUGCAGUGAACAGUGGCUGCAGCAGGAACAGUGGCCCCCACAGGAGCAGUGUUUGAUCACUGACAUUGCUUAUUGCUGACAUCUACUUGGUUUUACUUAUUUUUAAAAAUCUUUAUAACUAACGGACUGCUUAUUUCUUAUAGUCAUGCAGAUGUUCCCACUGACCCUUCUUUGGUAUAUUAUACUUACCUCUUACACAUACACAGUUGUAAUUAUUUUAGCUCUUAUUUUCGUGUGUGUGUGCUUUUCCCCAUUAGAUUCUAAGCUUCGUGACACAAUUGGUCUAAUUUUUCCCCUGUGGCAGACAUAGUAGUGAUGUAGUUACAUUGCUAUGGGCACUUACCCAUUUUGCCCCAGUAACAGGGAUUCAAGUUACCAGAAGUACAGUGGUAGAUUAGCGUUGACUUAGGUCUGGAAAAUAGAAGAAAAUUUAGGUAAAUAAAACAAAAUGGAGAACUCACCAAAGAAAGAUAAGGGAAAAUAAUAUUUUAAAAAGGAUGUUUCAAUAAUUCUCAUGAGUAAGGUAACCUAGGCAACCUUCCUUCUUUUGGUUAAGCAAAAUGGAGGAAGUGGAGGAAAAGUGUGUGUGUGUGUGUGUGUGUGUGUGUGUGUGUGUGUGUAAGAGAUUGAAGAGAAAUAGGCUGACAUAUUUGUGGAGCAAAUGGAGGUGUCAUGAUGAGGAGUUAGAAGAGACUAGGCAGUUAAAAGCAGAGACCCUGAAGUUUAAAAUGUAUGGAUAUUGCUAGAGCAGAAUUUUUCAGACCAACCAAUGGGAAGUUAGCAGGGCACAUAUUAACUCCUAGACAAAGAAGCUUUGGUGGUAACCCAUUUGGGGACCCCUCUCUGCUGCAGGGAGCUUUAUUACUUUACUAUCUCUAAUAAACUUUGCUUUUGUCCAUGAACGCAUUCUUCGGUUUUGCAAGACAACAAACUUAGACCCAAACAGAAAUUUUGGCAUCAAUGAUGAUGAGAAUGAUCAUAUUUCUAAAUUAUGGACAUGUUUAUUGGGCAAGAAUACAGGCUAGGUUUUUUCCUAAAUCCAACUAAGUCCUGCUGGUUUGGAAAGUCUGACUCAAAAAAGCAUUUAAUUCUAUUUGUCAUUUACUAACAGAGCCAAAUAUGCAAACAACCUUUUUUUUCUUUUCUUUGUUUCAGUAAAUAACCCAUACAUGGUGGUCUGAACUUUAGGCAUUUAUCAGGAACUGAGCAGAAAACCAACUUAGCAUCCUCACCUGUGAACUGCUGUGUACCAUCCCACAGCCAAGGUGAGAUUGACGACUGUAUCAACGGGAAUCACAUCUGCCACAGCCAUUGGAGUAGCUCUCAGGGCCCGGAGAAACCCUUUCCCUGUCUGCACAGGAAGAAGGACAUAAAAUAUUAAGCCAGGUCUCAAGUAACAGCUGGAGAGAAUACUGAUGCUGUUAGUAAUGACAGCUACCAUUGACCCACUGCUUACGAGACUACUAUACCAAGGCUGAUGUCACAGCCUGUCCAGCCUUUCAGCCACAUUCAUCUCAAAUGCCAACACUUCUAUGAACCACUAGUGAGUGGUCCUGGGUUCCUCUAGGGAGUGAAAGUCCUCAAAUUUGGGAGAGGUAAUAUAUUUAGUUAAUUAACAAACACCAAGAAUAGUUUUUCACAUCUUAAAAAUUAAUUCAUAAGCAUUAAGUUUUCCCCAAUUUCCCAUUUAUACUGUAUUAGUUUACCAUUUCCUAAUGAUGCUUUCUGCUAGUGCUUACUAAUUUACAAGCAAGAGCAGACACUAAAAGUUAAAGAAAUAUUUAUUUUUAAAAAUUAAUAAAAAUCUACCUUUUAACAACUUUGUUAUUACUUGGGAAACUUUUCCUUUGGUAUCAGUUCACCUCACAGAUCACUGAUGUUAUAUAGAUGUAAGAAUUGGGAAUUAUUCAUGUUAAUAAGUCAGUUAAUAACUAAAAAGUUGUGUUUAUUUUAUGAAUUAAAUAUUUAUACCUUGCAUAUUUCCAACAUCCUUUUUCACUGGUGUUAGCACUUUCUUAUGUUCCUAAUUUGUUGUAACUGAUUCCCCUUCCUUUGGACAUAAGAAAUCAGUUUGGAAAAUUUUAGAUAACUGAGUAAAUGUGCAGUUUUGUAAACAAUGUAAUAAGACACACUCUAGGGUCAUGUGAAAAUAAUUAAUUAUAUUCUAAGUUACCAAUGUCCACCCAUAACUAAACCUUAAAGAAGAGGAAGGCAGGUAGAGAACAAAAAGAGAGGAGCUGCUAGAGCAAAAAAGAAAUCAGAAGGGUCAUUCUCACUGUCUUUGACAAGUGGUCAUAAUUCACUGUCUUAUAUUUGAAUUUUAGUUCCUGUUGGACCUCGCUCUGAGAACACAGGCAGUGUCUGAGGUAUGAGGUUUGUAAACUCAGAGAAUUGAAUUGCGGUUCAUUGUCCUAAAGAGUGGAGUUGUGGUUCUGGUCCUAAAAUGCUUCAAUAUGAACUGUGACCACCCCCCACCCCCACCCCCCGCCCACCAGCUCAGGCUGAACCAGUCUUCACGGCAGGGGACACGUACACAGGGCUGUUGGCCCAGAGGAACCAGUAACGUUUCUCCUGGUCUGUGAGAGGUGUGCUGAAAAGUGUUUCCUCUAUCCGUCCAUUUUUAAUUUGAAAUCUUUGCCCGAGUUGGUGAUUCUCUUUCUUGUAUCUAUUAAGAACUGGUUACUGAUAUAUUUUAUGCAUUUAUAUAAUUUAUAUCCACACACAGAGAAACUCUUGUAUGUGUUUUAUAAUCAAGAAUUUAAUAAUCUUUGUGAAUAUGGUUUUUAUUGCAUCCCCAGUUCGCUGCAUUCAAGCUAUUAAUGGUCAGCGCAAAGGAGGAAACACCCCCAUCUUGUGGUAAUGAGAGAGAACUACAGGCAUGGUCCUCAAUGCUCAAAGGCUUUCCAAAAAGAAAACUCCUAAAUGGUCGUUGAUAUUACAGUACAUCUGUUUUUCUGAUAAUAAAAUUUACAAGUAAAAA